UCCAGGUGCAAAGUGGGAAGUGUGAGUCCUCAGUCUUGGGCUAUUCGGCCACGUGCCUGCCGGACAUGGGACGCUGGAGGGUCAGCAGCGUGGAGUCCUGGCCUUUUGCGUCCACGGGUGGGAAAUUGGCCAUUGCCACGGCGGGAACUGGGACUCAGGCUGCCCCCCGGCCGUUUCUCAUCCGUCCACCGGACUCGUGGGCGCUCGCACUGGCGCUGAUGUAGUUUCCUGACCUCUGACCCGUAUUGUCUCCAGAUUAAAGGUACGACAUUUGGAGGCCCCAGCGAGAAACGUCACCGGGAGAAACGUCACCGGGCGAGAGCCGGGCCCGCUGUGUGCUCCCCCGGAAGGACAGCCAGCUUGUAGGGGGGAGUGCCACCUGAAAAAAAAAUUUCCAGGUCCCCAAAGGGUGACCGUCUUCCGGAGGACAGCGGAUCGACUACCAUGUGGGUGCCCACAAAAAUUCCACCUCUGAGUCCUCAACUGCUGACCCCGGGGUCAGGUCCAGAUUUUGAACAAAUCUCGCUAGAGAUUGAACAGAGCUGCGCCUGGAUCCCGCCACAGUGAGGAGACCUGAAGACCAGAGAAAACACAGCAAGCCCCUGGAUCCUCCUGGAAUCCCCGAUCCCUCUUGCUCCCUGGCAGAGUUUUCUAGUCCCUCUUACUUGAAGCAUGUCUUUCAGAGCCCGGCACCACCCAUCUUGAGUAUCUGGUGGAUUUUCACAUCUCAAGCCAGCUAAGAGUAUGGGAAAUAGGACUCGUUAAAGCACAGAUAUCACACAAGUGAUUCAGAUUCACGAGGGUAAUCCAGAUGAAGGUAUAUCAUUGUACCUGGCCCGCAUCACUCAGUAACUGUCACCUUUGAUUUAUUGAUUUACUUGAGAUGGAGUUUGGUUCUGUCCCCGAGGCCGGAGUGCAAUGGCGUGAUCUCUGCUCACUACAACCUCUGCCUCCCAGGUUCAGAGUGAUUCUCCUGCCUCAGCCUCUUUAGCUGGGAUUACAGGCACCCACCAACAUGCCCAGCUAAUUUUUGUAUUUUUAGUAGAGAGGAGCUUUCACCAUAAUGGCCAGGCUGGUCUUGAACCUCAAAUGAUCUGCCCACCUUGGCCUCCCAAAGUGCUAGGAUUACAGGCUGGAGCUACAGAGCCCAGCCUGUCACCUUGAUUUAAAUGAAUGCAGCUUUCUUGGUGUCUUGAUGUUUGUGAAUUUCUGUGGAGUUUGAUACUGCUCCUUUUGCUGCUUGUUUUUCCAGAGUCCCCUUAUCACUUGACGUGCUGUUAUAUUAUGUUUGAUUUAUUACAGAUACCCCAUCAGCCUGAGUCUCUUAAAGGCCUUUAUACACAUAUGUCUACACAUAGGGAUUUGGAUGAUCUCGGGAUCCCACAUCCUCGCUGUCCCCUGUCCCCCCGCAACAUCCCCCACCAAUACCUUUCUGAAGUUUUCUAGUCCCUCCUUUUUGUUUGUGCUCCUUAAAGCCCAGCCCCAUGCCUGACUUUGGUUCCCAGUGAGCAUUGUACAUUUGUGGAUAUUAAAUCUUUGGCAAAGUCAUUUACCUGGG
rnacentral:lncRNA from 1 species